GAUGAACGCUGGCGGCGUGCCUAAUACAUGCAAGUCGAGCGAACAGACGAGGAGCUUGCUCCUCUGACGUUAGCGGCGGACGGGUGAGUAACACGUGGAUAACCUACCUAUAAGACUGGGAUAACUUCGGGAAACCGGAGCUAAUACCGGAUAAUAUAUUGAACCGCAUGGUUCAAUAGUGAAAGACGGUUUUGCUGUCACUUAUAGAUGGAUCCGCGCCGCAUUAGCUAGUUGGUAAGGUAACGGCUUACCAAGGCGACGAUGCGUAGCCGACCUGAGAGGGUGAUCGGCCACACUGGAACUGAGACACGGUCCAGACUCCUACGGGAGGCAGCAGUAGGGAAUCUUCCGCAAUGGGCGAAAGCCUGACGGAGCAACGCUGCGUGAGUGAUGAAGGUCUUCGGAUCGUAAAACUCUGUUAUUAGGGAAGAACAAAUGUGUAAGUAACUAUGCACGUCUUGACGGUACCUAAUCAGAAAGCCACGGCUAACUACGUG
rnacentral:rRNA from 1 species